rnacentral:tRNA from 1 species
AGGGCUGUGGCUCAGUGGUAGAGCAUUUGCCUAGCAUGCAUGGGGCACUGGGUUUGAUUCCUGGCACCACAU